rnacentral:rRNA from 1 species
GAGACAGCAGUAGCCACGGUAAUACGAAGGGUGCAAGCGUUACUCGGAAUUACUGGGCGUAAAGCGUGCGUAGGUGGUGGUUUAAGUCCGUUGUGAAAGCCCUGGGCUCAACCUGGGAAUUGCAGUGGACACUGGGUCACUAGAGUGUGGUAGAGGAUAGUGGAAUUUCCGGUGUAGCAGUGAUAUGCGUAGAGAUCGGAAGGAACAUCUGUGGCGAAGGCGACUAUCUGGGCCAACACUGACACUGAGGCACGAAAGCGUGAGGAGCAAACAGGAUUAGAUACCCGCGUAGUCCCUGUCUCUUAUAC